CUCUCAUUAGCUUAAUGGUAGAGCUGGACACUUCUAAUGUCUAGGUUCAAGUUCGAAUCUUGGAUGGGAGU
rnacentral:tRNA from 1 species